rnacentral:rRNA from 1 species
ACUCAAAGGAAUAGACGGGGACCCGCACAAGCGGUGGAGCGUGUUGUUUAAUUCGAUGGUAAGCGAAGAACCUUACCCAGGCUUGACAUCCUACUAAUUUCUCCGAAAGGAGAGAGUGCCUUCGGGCCGUAGUGACAGGUGUUGCAUGGCCGUCGUCAGCUCGUGUCGUGAGAUGUUAGGUUAAGUCCUUCAACGAGCGCAACCCUUAUAGUUAGUUGUAUUUUUCUAGCUAGACUGCCCUGGCAACAGGGAGGAAGGAGGGGAUGAUGUCAGGUCAGUAUUACCCUUACGUCUGGGGCUACAAACACGCUACAAUGGCCGGUACAAAGGGCAGCCAAGUCGCGAGACGGAGCAAAUCCCAACAAAGCCGGUCCCAGUUCGGAUAGCAGGCUGAAACUCGCCUGCUUGAAGUCGGAAUCGCUAGUAACGGUAGGUCAGCACACUACCGUGAAUACGUUCCCGGGUCUUGUACACACCGCCCGU